rnacentral:rRNA from 1 species
UACAGAGGGUGCGAGCGUUGUCCGGAAUCACUGGGCGUAAAGGGUGCGUAGGUGGCGCGGUAAGUCGGGUGUGAAAUCUCGGAGCUUAACUCCGAAAUUGCAUUCGAUACUGCCGUGCUCGAGGACUGGAGAGGAGACUGGAAUUCAUGGUGUAGCAGUGAAAUGCGUAGAGAUCAUGAGGAAGACCAGUGGCGAAGGCGGGUCUCUGGACAGUUCCUGACACUGAGGCACGAAGGCCAGGGGAGCAAACGGG